UACAGAGGUCUCAAGCGUUGUUCGGAUUCAUUGGGCGUAAAGGGUGCGUAGGCGGCGCGGUAAGUCGGGUGUGAAAUCUCGGGGCUUAACUCCGAAACUGCAUUCGAUACUGCCGUGCUUGAGGACUGGAGAGGAGACUGGAAUUUACGGUGUAGCGGUGAAAUGCGCAGAUAUCGGGAGGAACACCGGUGGCGAAGGCGGUUCUCUGGGCCUUACCUGACGCUGAGGAGCGAAAGCGUGGGGAGCGAACAGG
rnacentral:rRNA from 1 species